GCGCCUAUAGUUUAAUUGCUUAAAACAGCAGACUCUAAAUCUGCCUCUUGGGAGUUGAAGUCUCUCUGGGCGUGCCA
rnacentral:tRNA from 3 species